GGCCGCAAGAGGCGGCGCGGAGCGCGGGCACGGGACGGGACGGGCCGGGGGAGGAGCAGCGGCAGCGGCCGCGGCGGCACCCAGCCACCCUUCAUCAGCCACCCACCCGUCCAGCCAUCCAUCUGUCCGUCCAUCCUUCUCUCCGCCCGCCCAGCCACCCAUCCAGGCCGGCUGUGAGCCCUGCUGGCGCUGCCCGAGGAGCCGCUGCGGCCUCGGUAGCGUUCAGCGAGUGAAACGCAGGAGUUGAGGAGCCUCACCUCGCUUGCUGACAGCCCAGGCUGAGUGCAGGGCUGCUGCCCUGGCUGUGCCCGUGUCCCUUCUCCUCCCCUCGGAAAGGAUGAAUUGCCACAGAACUGGACAGAGCUUGAGUGGGAUUCACCAUUUGGUGCCUUUUUUAAUCAUCUCUGCGCUGCACUCAUGCUAAGCCAUGACAGUACGUUUCCUGGCAACUUCCAGUAAUUUUAUCUGGCUCUUGCUUUCAGCCAUUUCUGUGAGACAAAUGAGUUAUAAACUGCUGGAAUAAAGCCUUUUUUAAUUAAAAAAUGCUUCGCAAAUAGACAUUCUUUACAAUUUUUAUCCCACCAUGUUUAGCUUAGAACAGAUCUCUCAU